rnacentral:rRNA from 1 species
CCUACGGGAGUCAGCAGUGAGGAAUAUUGGUCAAUGGGCGCGAGCCUGAACCAGCCAAGUCGCGUGAGGGAAGACGGUCCUAUGGAUUGUAAACCUCUUUUGUCGGGGAGCAAAAGACGCCACGCGUGGCGUUCCGAGAGUACCCGAAGAAAACGCAUCGGCUAACUCCGUGCCAGCAGCCGCGGUAAUACGGAGGAUGCGAGCGUUAUCCGGAUUUAUUGGGUUUAAGGGUGCGCGGGCUGAAGAUCAAGGCAGUGGUAAAAUUGAGGGGCCCAAACUCUUAGAGCGGUUGAAACUGGUUUUCGUGAGUGAGUGAGAAGUAUGCGGAAGGCGUGGUGUAGCGGUGAAAUGCAUAGAUAGCACGCAGAACUCCGAUUGCGAAGGCAGCAUACCGGCGCUCAACUGACGCUCAUGCACGAAAGUGUGGGUAUCGAACAGGAUUAGAUACCCGUGUAGUC